rnacentral:rRNA from 1 species
AACGAACGCUGGCGGCAUGCCUAACACAUGCAAGUCGAACGAGACCUUCGGGUCUAGUGGCGCACGGGUGCGUAACGCGUGGGAACCUUCCCUUAGGUUCGGAAUAACUCCCCGAAAGGGGUGCUAAUACCGGAUAAUGUCUUCGACCCAAAGAUUUAUCGCCUUGGGAUGGGCCCGAGUUGGAUUAGCUAGUUGGUAGGGUAAAAGCCUCCCAAGGCGACGAUCCAUAGCUGGUCUGUGAGGAUGAUCAGCCACACUGGGACUGAGAAACGGCCCAGACUCCUACGGGAGGCAGCAGUGGGGAAUAUUGGAAAACGGGCGAAGGCAUGAUCCAGCAAUGCCGCGUGAGUGAUGAAGGCCUUAGGGUUGUAAAGCUCUUUUAACCGGGAUGAUAAUGACAGUACCGGGAGAAUAAGCUCCGGCUAACUCCGUG